rnacentral:lncRNA from 1 species
CGGUGUAUAGGAGCACUAUACUGUAUGUUAACUACCGACAGUAGGUAUAGACAAAUACUGUUGAUAGACGGUAUAUAGGAGCACUAUAUUGUAUGUUAACCACCGACGGUAGGUAUAGACAAAUACUGUUGAUAUACGGUAAAUAGGAGUACUGUAUUGCAUGUUAACCACCGACGGUAGGUAUAGAUAAAUACUGUUGGUAGACGAUAUAUAGGAGCACUGUAUUGUUAUUGGUUGCUGUCUUUGAUAUUGAUUUUACGUUUAUCGUUUCAGCAUUAAUCGGGCUGUUAGUUUUCGUUUUUCGUCACAUCUAGUCAGGAAUGGGUUUUAAUAGCAUUUUACAUGAAUACAUAUGUGUAACUCAUGGCUGAUUCACAUUCGUUUGUCUUUGGUGGAUAAGUUUCCCAUUGGCAAUAUUACCACAUAUCUUCUGAAUUUUCAUUGCAUCAUCUAAACAUGUAAAAUUCGUAUAUAGAAAAUAUAUACGUAUAGAUAAUAUAUAUAUAAUAUAAAAAAGUAGAUGUUGUAUGAUUGCCAAUGAGACAACAGUAGUGUUUGUGGGACAGAAUGACCCCCAUUAAGGUGGACGUCGGACGCUGACGCCAUAUUCGAAAGUUGGCGCAGACGCCGACGCCAUAUUUGGGCCUUAAAGCGGACGCCAUAGUCGACCCUGAAAUCAAGACGCAAACUUCGGGUUGGACCAUGUUACUCGGACAUCGAGACGCCGACGCCAUAUUUGGGCUUAAAUCCUGGACGCUAUAUCUUAAUGUUUGACCAGGCUACCCUCCAGGGUGGAUACUUUUAGUGACCCUAGAAAGAGUUUUUCAAGACUUGAGACCUGCUAUACAUCCAUGUAGGUGUUUUAAGAUUUUUUUUUUCUUUUCUUCUGUUUUUUUUUUCUUUCUUUUUUCAUUAUUUUUUUUUUUGUAUCAUUAUUUUUCAUUUAACCAAAUAGAGCUACGAGUUUACUGUCAUUCUGAAUCGUGUCAGUGGAUGAAAAGUUGUUGAUAAUGUCCUUCAUCUCGAGUCCCGACAUCUCAAUUUGACGUAAUAAAUGCAAUACAGGCCACAUGUAUCUGAAUCAUCGGGUUGGAUUUGAU